CGAACUCCUACGGGAGGCAGCAGUGAGGAAUAUUGGUCAAUGGACGAGAGUCUGAACCAGCCAAGUAGCGUGCAGGAUGACGGCCCUAUGGGUUGUAAACUGCUUUUAUAAGGGAAUAAAAGUGAGUCUCGUGAGACUUUUUGCAUGUACCUUAUGAAUAAGGACCGGCUAAUUCCGUGC
rnacentral:rRNA from 1 species